UCGAGAAUCUUCGGCAAUGCGCGAAAGCGUGACCGAGCGACGCCGCGUGUGGGAUGAAGGCCUUCGGGUUGUAAACCACUGUCAGUUGGGAGGAAGGGUCGCCGAAGAGGCGACUUUGACCUAGCUUCAGAGGAAGGCCGGGCUAAGUUCGUGCCAGCAGCCGCGGUAAGACGAACCGGCCGAACGUUAUUCGGAAUCAUUGGGCUUAAAGGGUGCGUAGGCGGCGCGGUCAGUUGGGUGUGAAAUCCCUCGGCUCAACCGAGGAACUGCGCCCAAUACUGCCGUGCUAGAGGGAGACAGAGGCGAGCGGAACUGAUGGUGGAGCGGUGAAAUGCGUUGAUAUCAUCAGGAACACCAGUGGCGAAAGCGGCUCGCUGGGUCUCUUCUGACGCUGAGGCACGAAAGCUAGGGUAGCGAACGGGAUUAGAUACCCCCGUAGUCC
rnacentral:rRNA from 1 species